GAUGAACGCUGGCGGCGUGCCUAAUACAUGCAAGUCGAGCGAACAGACGAGGAGCUUGCUCCUCUGACGUUAGCGGCGGACGGGUGAGUAACACGUGGAUAACCUACCUAUAAGACUGGGAUAACUUCGGGAAACCGGAGCUAAUACCGGAUAAUAUAUUGAACCGCAUGGUUCAAUAGUGAAAGACGGUUUUGCUGUCACUUAUAGAUGGAUCCGCGCCGCAUUAGCUAGUUGGUACGGUAACGGCUUACCAAGGCAACGAUGCGUAACCGACCUGAGAGUGUGAACGGCCACACUAGAACUGGGACACGGUCCAGACUCCUACGAGAGGCAGCAGUAGGGAAUCUUCCGCAAUGGGCGAGAGCCUGACGGAGCAACGCCGCGUGAGUGAUAGAGGUCUUCGGAUCGUAAAACUCUGUUAUUAGGGAAGAACAAAUGUGUAAGUAACUAUGCACGUCUUGACGGUACCUAAUCAGAAAGCCACGGCUAACUACGUG
rnacentral:rRNA from 1 species